CCAGCUGCGUCUGUUUGGCUUUUUGAGGUUAUGUUGUAAAAUUGCUAAAAAAUCUGCAAUUUCACUGAAUUUAUGAGACAAAUUGUGUUUAUUAUACCAGUGAAAAGUGUUUAAGAAUGUCUGAAACUGAAGAACCCCCAGCUAAAGUUGCGAAGCUCGAGAUGUCACAAACAUUCACACAGCCGGAGGAACCGGAGGAAGGUCAAGAUGAGGGUCAGGAGGAGUGGCUGAGCGAGGGACUCCUCACCGACGACGAUUGCAUGCCGCCUGCCGACCAAGACAACAGCACCAUAUCCCUACCAACAGACACAGAAAACGCCCCAGAGAACCAAGAGCCCGCACCUUCAGAGGAACCAACGCAAGAAGCAAAGGACAUGAUGGAAGAUGCCAACAUCGAGAAAACUUUAAACAGCAUGGACAACUCUCAGAGUGCGAGUAUCGAUCCGUUCGAUGCGUUGCUGAAGGAUAACCAGAAUAUCAAUAAUGAGAAGGAGCAGUCGGAUGGGAAUGAUACGGAUGAUCUGUUGAGAAUGUUAGAAGACGACGACAAGACCAAAAAGAUCAAGGUUCUAACUAAGACAAAACCCAAAGAAACCCCGAAGGAUGACGCGGCGUCCAGCGAUGAUGAUGACGAGUACAUUUUCAAGGGUGCAACAGUGAAGAAGCUGAAAAUGGCUAAGAAUGCAGUCAUACAGAAGUAUCCAGCCUCUAAAGCUAUGCCCGAGACGUCUGAAGACGAGACUGACGCUUCGUCAGAAGACAUGCAUUUAAUGCAGAAGAUGUUUGGUAAGAAUGCAGGCAACGCGCAGACCUCGAAAGCACCUCAGAAGCAGACCCUGCCUUCGCUGAAGAAAACAUUUACUCCGAAGAAAAUCGUCCGGCUUGGGAACAACACUAAUUUUAGACAAGCCAUGGAAAAGCGGCAGGCCGCUACCUCCACACCUCGCCCGGAUUCCAAGUCGCUCCUGAAGAAUCCACAGAAGUCCAUAGUCAAAGUUGUGGACAGAUCUGCGGUGGAGAAAGUCAAGUCUGAGAUGAGAAAACCAAAAAUAGAGCAUGAAGAAAUAAUAAACGAGGAAGAGUUUUUGGAGGAAGAUGAAUUCGACUUGGAAGAAGAUUUCGCCAUGGAGUCCGACUCGGAGUUAGAAAAGCGCAAGAUCAAGCAACGCAUCAUGAAGCCCGAACAGAUGGACGAAGAGAUGUUAUCUGACAUCGAGAGCCAGUCGGAAGACGGCAGCCUUUACGAUGAACUACCCACAUCUGAUUCCGACGACAUGGACGAAUGGUUCACCCUUGACAUCCGCGCAGAGCGGGCGGGAGACUACCUGCCUUUAUUAGGUUCUAGAGCCCACGAGCUCCUCUCCGGCGAGAAGCAACGCGUCGGCUCCCGGCUCCGCUCGCUCCGCCAGAGCCUCGCGUCCCUCAGCGCCGGCGGCCGCGCGCACGCCUCGCGCCUGCGGGCCGCCUCGCGCGCGCUCGCCGAGCUUGACGACGUGCUGCGCGCGCACUGACCGAGCUGGCUUUGGUAGGAGAGCACCGCGAGCUAAGCUAGUGUCGACAGCGAGCUAGGCUAGUGUCUUACUUAAGCGAGCGCGGGCUAGUGUUUAAAGGGAGCGUUAGCUAGGCUAGUGUCUUAGGAGAGCGUGAGCCAGACUAGUGUCUACAGCGAACUAGGCUAGUGUCUUAAGGGAGCGCCAGCUAGGCUAGUGUCUUAAGGGAACGCGAGCUAAUGUCUUAAAGAAGGUAGGCUAGUGUCUUACUUAAGCGAGCGCGGACUAGUGUUUAAAGGGAGCGUUAGCUAGGCUAGUGUCUUAGGACUCCUAACUUAGGAGAGCGUGAGCCAGACUAGUGUCUACAGCGAACUAGCCUAGUGUCUUAAGGGAGCGCCACCUAGGCUAGUGUCUCAUGCGUCGGCUCCCGGCUGCGCUCGCUCCGCCAGAGCCUCGCGUCUCUCAGCGCCGGCGGCCGCGCGCACGCCUCGCGCCUGCGGGCCGCCUCGCGCGCGCUCGCCGAGCUCGAUGACGUGUUGCGCGCGCACUGAGACGCGAGCUAGGC